rnacentral:rRNA from 1 species
UGGGGAAUAUUGGGCAAUGGGGGAAACCCUGACCCAGCAACGCCGCGUGAAGGAAGAAGGUCUUCGGAUUGUAAACUUUUGUCUUUGGGGAAGAAUAAAAUGACGGUACCCAAGGAGGAAGCCACGGCUAACUACGUGCCAGCAGCCGCGGUAAUACGUAGGUGGCAAGCGUUGUCCGGAUUUACUGGGUGUAAAGGGCGUGUAGGUGGGAUUGUAGGUCAGAUGUGAAAUGCUAAGGCUUAACCUUAGAGCUGCAUUUGAAACCACAAUUCUUGAGUAUCGGAGAGGAAAGCGGAAUUCCUAGUGUAGCGGUGAAAUGCGUAGAUAUUAGGAGGAACACCAGUGGCGAAGGCGGCUUUCUGGACGAUUACUGACACUGAGGCGCGAAAGCGUGGGGAGCAAACA